rnacentral:rRNA from 1 species
UACGUAGGGACCGAGCGUUGUCCGGAAUCAUUGGGCGUAAAGAGCGUGUAGGCGGCCAUUUAAGUCCUGCGUGAAAUCUUGCGGCUCAACCGCAAGCGGUCGUGGGAAACUGGGUGGCUAGAGUGCGGGAGAGGAGAGUGGAAUUCCUGGUGUAGCGGUGGAAUGCGCAGAUAUCAGGAAGAACACCGGUGGCGAAGGCGGGUCUCUGGGCCGAUAUUGACGCUGAGGAGCGAAAGCGUGGGGAGCGAACAGG